GGCCUAACACAUGUCAAGUCGAGGGGUAGAUGGAGCUUGCUUCAUUGAGACCGGCGCACGGGUGCGUAACGCGUAUGCAACCUACCCUUUUCUGGGGGAUAGCCCGAAGAAAUUCGGAUUAAUACCGCAUAAGACCACGGAACGGCAUCGUUCAGUGGUCAAACAUUUAUGGGAGAAGGAUGGGCAUGCGUGCCAUUAGCUAGUUGGCGGGGUAACGGCCCACCAAGGCGACGAUGGCUAGGGGAUCUGAGAGGAUGGCCCCCCACACUGGUACUGAGACACGGACCAGACUCCUACGGGAGGCAGCAGUAAGGAAUAUUGGUCAAUGGAGGCAACUCUGAACCAGCCAUGCCGCGUGCAGGAAGACGGCCCUCUGGGUUGUAAACUGCUUUUAUUCGGGAAUAAACCUAGAUACGUGUAUUUAGCUGAAUGUACCGAAGGAAUAAGGAU
rnacentral:rRNA from 1 species